GUUGUUAGAGAACACUUAAGAAGUUAAAUUUGAGAAGUGGGUCACAAAUUGUGACCUGGAAUUACAACAACCCAGAGAUAUUUCAGAGAUUAUUCUCCCACUUGGAGAGAUAAGGAAACUGAAGCACAGAAAACUGAUUUAGUUAAAGUCACCCAUCUGGUCUUUGUCAACAACAGAACUAGAAUUCUAAAUUUCUGAACUUCUGUUCAUUUUUCUUUCAGAAGAGCAGGCAUGAGCCCAUAUUCAUUGUAACUUUUGAAGAUCACUCUUCUGUGGUCCCCUUUUAAAAACUUUUUUUUUUUCAAUUCUGCUAAAAACCAGCUGUCUGUUUACUGUGAGUUCAUUUUUCCUGGAAAGACCACUAGCCUGCAGUUCUAACAUGGAGAGCUGAUCUCAGCCUUGCCCUCAGUCAUUCUGGAGCAGUUGGCAGUCCAUGUGAACUCCAUUGAAAUAUGGAGUGUGUAAAAUGAGUAUUGUGCUCAGCACAUCAGCAGAGUGAGCAGUGUGAUGGCUGCUUUGGUCAGUGGAGGAAGUUGAAACGAAGACAGAGUGAAGAUGGAGAAACAAGAUGGAAGUGGUAGAGAGAACCAAGAGAGAAGGCUAAGAUGGCUCUGAGAAGGAAUAGAGAACUUUUCUUCCCGUUAAGGGCAGCAGAGGGAAGAAUCCAGCUGACAACUCACUAUCCACAGCCAUCUGGCUCCAGGAACAACAGAUUGAUGGUGUAUGUGCCCAACUCUUUCAAAAUGGAAAUGAUGAACCCACAAAGGAAAAACUCCCAAGGAUCUUAAUAGAACAUAUUGCCUAAUACAAAACAGCAAAUGAUAAGGACUUCUGCAGAAGGAAAGCAAUCAAACAAAACAAAGAAGGGAAGAAACAAAGAAAGAUAAUGACAGGUACAAACAUAAUAAUGGUAUAUAUAACACACUGACAAGAUUUCAAGAGAAAGAACAUACUCAAAGUACAACAAACAAAACAAAAACAAAAAUGCUAAUGAUUUUGAAUAAUAAUGGCAAAUGCAUGCAUAGGGGUUAUUGUGUGCCAGGAACUGCUCUAAACACUAUACAUAUGUUAACUCAUUUAAAUUUAUAAACCCCAUUAACGUCAUUUAAAAUGAUUAUCCCCAUAUCACUGAGAGGAAACAGAAGCAGGGAAAUAAUUUGGUCAAGUUUGCAUAUCCAGGAAGUAUAGGAGCUGGGAGAAUAGUCCUGGCAAUCUGGCUCCAGAGUCCGUGUUGUACAUGGUGACUUAUAAUUGUGUAUAAGGUAACUUCCCAGACAAGACACAGAAUUUGACCUAAUCAGGAAAAUAUAAAGAAAAUACAGUAAGAAUUCAGAGAAAUGUUGUUUCUCUGAAGACUUCAGAGAAUCUUGUUUCUAGCUAGAGGGAUAAAAUAAACCUUUCUGGGAGAGAAACGUUUGGAAUAUAUGGAAGAUUUAGGCAGGGACAGCUGCUCGGGAAGAACAAGACCGUUGGAACAGCAUGAGCUUCUAGGAGAAUGAAGGCUUUUCCAGUUUAGUUGGAAGAUAGUUGGGCAUAGAAGACUAACAGAAGGUAACAGUGGAAAAGAAUGCUAAGCUGUUAGAGCUGGCAGAUGCCUUAACCAUCCUUUAAUCUAGCUCCUUAAUUUACUGGCCAAGAAAAUGAAACCUAGAGAGAGAAGGUGACUGGAGCAUGAAGCCAGUGGGGCUGAGACUGGCAUAUCCAGCACUGGAGCUCUGUUCUUUUGACUCCGUGGCCAGGGGUCUUCAUUUCCAUCAAAUUGUAUCAUCAGCUCAUGGAGAGACUUUAUUUUUAAGGAACAGGAAACUACUAAGAAUUUUGAGCAGAAAAGGAAAGCCUGAAUUUGAAUCCCCCUGCUCCUUAACCUGUCAGUUGUAUGACUUGGCAAGAUUUCACUUGACCUCUUUAAAUUCAGUCUGUUCAUCUGUAAAAUGAGGAUAAUAAAAUGCCUGUGUCAUAGGGAUGCUAUGAGAAGUGGAUGAGGUGCUUUACACAUAGUAGAUGUGAAGUAAAUUAUGAAAUCAAAUUUUCUUCUCCCUCCUUCCCCCUUUAUUUUUUUCUUUUUCUUUUUUGUAAACUUUCUUUCCUUCUCAUUCUCCCUCUUACUUUUUAUUCCUUUAUCAAAUACAAGGGUGGGGAAAGGUAGACAUUCACCCACCCUGCACUCACCCGCAGUGUGUUCCUGCCCAGGACCUCACUUGGCCUGAAGGUUGCCUUGGCCUGAAGGUUGCCUUGGGAAGGAUGCUCUGCCCAACUGCAUGACAGGUCACAGCACCAGAAUGCCUACAACCUCCCAGGGCAGCCCUCAAAGGAAUUUGGUGUAUAAAUUCCUCAGCUCCUUCUUGACACACUGGCAAGAUUCCUCUGAGGUACCUGCUCCAUAUUGUCACCCUGGGUAACAGAAUCACAGAAUUGAUCUCCAGUCCCCUCCAGAAAAAACAUCCUUUGUUGGCUGCCUUCCCUUCCCUGUCUCGUUUCUCCACUCCCCUUUCAACCUUUCAGCUAAACUACUGGCACGUGAGUCUUUAUCUCCUUUUGGGGGAUUCCACACGAAAAUGGUGUGGGAUCAUAAAUGAUGGAACUGGGUCCUCAAUCGGGGAGGAAGGCAGAUAGAAGCAUAGAUUGAGGGACUAUAUAGGGAAGGCAAAAGGUUGUCUUACAGAGUUAGAACUAACAGUCUACUGAUUGCCAAGCUAGCUCUCUUACCUUUGUCAUCCUGCCCUGUCAUGUUUCUUGACAUUCCAGGCCUGAGAACGUAAUCCCAGAAGUGUCAUUAUAGUAUCUACUGGGAAAAUCCUGAAUAGCCUGGCUUUUGGGCUGACCUUUCCUUUCCAAAGCUGAUAACCUCUUUGCUUCUUGAUAGUAGAAUGAGGAGGAGGAAGCCACCAGUGCUAACAAGCACCAUGAUUCUGGGAACAAGGGUAUUCCCAAAACACAGACACCAAUAACUGUCAUUUUCAGAAUUACUCUGGGUGGUGCUGGUGAUGAAGGCAGACAAGCGUAGUUGCCUCCUGAGUUUUCUGGAACUAUGGAGAUGGGCCUGGGCCAGGAAGAGACUUUUCUCUGAUAGUGCGUGAGUUUUGCCAACAAAAAAAGAGAACCCUUACAGCUUAGCCUUACUCUUACACCCAGGAGAGUGCUGCCUCGAAUAGCUCAACUUUGGCUCCCUGCCUAGUGUCUCCAGUUUCAUGCAUCCAUUUUCUAAUUAGAACUUCUUUGUGCUACCAGGCAGAAUCUCAGAGGCGGUGCUGUAUACCAGGUGGACAGGAGGAAAGAAUACCUUUAGCAGACUCCCAUAAAAAGAUCUUUUAAAACUCUAGAGCAGUGGGCAAAUGCAACCAACUGAUGUUCAGAAAAACCUCCUAAUGUUCCAGAGAAACAGACAUUCAAGUUUCAGGGGUGGUUGAAGCUAGAUUUUCUGAUGAUUAUCACUAAUACAGUCUUUGUGACCAGCUGACAAUGAAACCCCUUUUAUACAGUAAACACCUAGACUACAUGAAUAACGUGAGAAAUAGUUUUCUAACACUUUGAGGUUUGGAAUGU